rnacentral:rRNA from 1 species
AUGUAUAUCGACUCUGUCGAAUAAAGUUCUAGUUAAGUUAUGAUAAUGACAUUUCUUAACUAUGUGUCUUGACCAAAUCACGUGCCAGCAGUCGCGGUAAUACGUGGAAGACUAGUGUUAUUCAUCUUUAACAGGUUUAAAGGGUACCUAGACGGUAAAUCAAGCCCCAAAAGGGUACUAUUUUACUAGAGUUUAAUAAGAGAGGGGGAGUACUGAUGAGUGGAGAGAUGAAAUUUUAUGAUACCAUUAGGAACAGACAAAGGCGAAAGCGACCUUUUACAUAAAACUGACGUUGAGGGACGAAGGCUUUAGUCGUGAACAGGAUUAGAUACCCAAGUAAUUAAAGCAGACAAUGAUGAAUGUCAUAGAUUAGUAACUUUUUAGAUUAGUAAUUAUUUAUUAAUCUAGGCAUAAGUGUACUAUUAAUCUAUAAAUGAAAGUGUAAGCAUUCCACCUCAAGAGUAAUGUGGCAACGCAGAAACUGAAAUCAUUAGACCGUUUCUGAAACCAGUAGUGAAGUAUGUUGUUUAAUUAGAUAGUCCGCAAAAGACCUCACCACAAUUUGUAUAUUAUUCUUUUAUAAGAAUAAUACAAGCGUUGCACGGCUGUCUUCAGUUAAUGUCGUGAGAUUAGGUUAGUUCCAUUAAAUUAACGUAAACCCUUGCUUUAUUUAUUUUAUAAAGUAGAUCACCGCUAUAUUGGAUGUGAUAAUAGGGACUAAGACAAGUCAUCAUGGCCUGAAUAUUGUGGGCGAUAGACGUGCCACAUAAUCGGAGAC